rnacentral:misc_RNA from 1 species
GAUGAAGAACGUAGCGAAAUGCGAUAAGUAAUGUGAAUUGCAGAAUUCAGUGAAUCAUCGAAUCUUUGAACGCACAUUGCGCCCCUUGGUAUUCCGGGGGGCAUGCCUGUUCGAGCGUCAUUUCAACCCUCAAGCUCUGCUUGGUAUUGGGCACCGUCCUUUGCGGGCGCGCCUCAAAGACCUCGGCGGUGGCGUCUUGCCUCAAGCGUAGUAGAAUACACCUCGCUUCGGAACGUAAGGCGUCGCCCGCCGGACGAACCUUCUGAACUUUUCUCAAGGUUGACCUCGGAUCAGGUAGGGAUACCCGCUGAACUUAAGCAUAUCAAUAAGCGGAGGA